AUUGAACGCUGGCGGCAGGCCUAACACAUGCAAGUCGAGCGGAGAGGCGGAAGGGUGAGUAAUGCCUAGGAAUCUGCAUGGUAGUGGGGGAUAACGUAGGGGAACGGGCGCUAAUAACGCAUAAUAGAAAAUGAGCCUCGGUCGGAAUAGCUAUUGGGUGGGGGAAAGGCCUACCAAGGCGACGAGCCGUACCUGGUCUGAGAGGAUGAUCAGUCACACUGGAACUGAGACACGUCCCAGACUCCUACGGGAGGCAGCAGUGGGGAAUAUUGGACAAUGGGCGAAAGUCUGAUCCAGCCAUGCCGCGGGUGUGAAGAAGGUCUUCGGAUGGUAAAGCACUUUAAGUUGGGAGGCGUUACCAACAGAAUAAGCACCGGCUAACUUCGUGCCAGCAGCCGCGGUAAUAC
rnacentral:rRNA from 1 species